UGGAUACCUAUGCAGGCAGACCUAUAGGACAACUGCUGGAAAAUUAAAGGGAUAUUUUUAUCCUAAGUUUACAAGUGGAUCUCUUCUGUUGGACUUCACUGAUACUUUGAAAAACUGAGGAAAUGCCAACCCAAUGAGCCAAGAAAAAUGAAUGAAAUAUAUAUUUACAUGCUGGAGAAGAAUAUAAUUCAUUAGGUGGCCUAUAAUAAGGAAUCCCAAUAAAUGCUAUCAUAUUCUGGGAAUAAUUUUCUUCAAGUUUUUUCAACUUGGUAAUAAAUAUUUUUCAAACACCCCUGAAGAAGUCGAUAUAGACGAAACGCGUUGGGUGAAAGCUCAUUAUAUUGUUGUUUUUUUCCUUAUACAAAUAAUGUUGAAAUAUACAAUUGUAUCUCCAAUAUAAAAGAAAAGGAAAAGUUUUAUGAUAAGUUUUAAAUCAAAAUCUUUUAAUAAAGAGAUAUGUGAUUCUAA